rnacentral:rRNA from 1 species
CUGGCGGCACGCCUAAACAUGCAAGUCGAACGAAGUAGCAAUACUUAGUGGCAGACGGGUGAGUAACAUGUAGGUAUCUGCCCUUUGGCCUGGAAUAACACGAGGAAACUUGUGCUAAUACCGGAUAAGUCUUUACGGAGAAAGCUUUAUGCACCAUUGGAUGAGCCUGCACUUGAUUAGUUUGUUGGUGGGGUAAUGGCCUACCAAGACUGUGAUCAAUAGCUGAUUUGAGAGGAUGAUCAGCCACAUUGGGACUGAGACACGGCCCAAACUCCUACGGGAGGCAGCAGUGGGGAAUCUUGCACAAUGGAGGAAACUCUGAUGUAGCGAUGCCGCGUGAGUGAAGAAGGCCUUUGGGUUGUAAAGCUCUUUCGUCGGGGAAGAAAAUGACUGUACCCGAAUAAGAAGGUCCGG